GUUGCUGUGUAAAGACAACAUGUGGAGUCUAGCCCUGAGUCCCUGCAGCCUGUAGGCAGUCUUGAAGAAGAAAGCAGGACUGGAUCUGGUGUCCUCAAAACUGCUGUGCUGGGACAAGAGGAGUCCAGUAGAUGGCCCUGAGAUCCUUGAUGCAAGUGCUAAAGAGGAAGGCGCGACUGGGACCGGCAUCCUCUGAGUUGCUGUGUUGGCACAAUAGGAAUAGUCCAGCAGGCAGCCCCAAGCUCUCAGUGGACUCUAGGAAAGCCCUGAGGAAGAGAGCAGGACUGGUAAUAGCAUCUUCUAAGCUGCUGUGUCAGGUCCAGGAGGAAUCAAUUAGGCAGCCCCAAGCUCCCUGUGGCCUUCAGGCAGCAUCAGAGAAGGUACAGAGGCAGCUUUCUGUUGGAGAAGCAGCAGACUUUGAUUUGGACAGGAAGAAGGACUCAAGUUCAGCAUAAUUCCAGUUGCUCCAUAAGGACUUCUAUUUCAAAACUGGACAAUGUUUAAAAGAACAAUACAAAAUAACAACGAUAAGAAAAACUUUGUUUCUUUUUUUCUGAAACAGAGCCAAGGUUCCAUCAUGAAAUGAGAGAGGGGAAAAUGGAGACAGGAAAGAAAACACGACAGAAGAUGAUAUUUGAACAGCUUGUUAAUUGAGGGGGUGGACAAAAUCCAGUCAUGCUCUUAAUUUGAAGUAUCUUGCUUUGCUUCUGUCUUCUGUAGAGUAAAUUUAUUAACUUAUUAAUAGGAUUUAUUUGAGAGCACUGCGCAUCUGUUCUGUUUUGAAGCUGCUACUCGCUAUAUGCUUAGACCCUUGGUAGCAAGAAAUAAGUAAUCAUAUUGGAUAUCCAAAAUGGCAACGUAUGAACAGGGCACGGUCAAGAAUCCCUUAGGAGUUUAGUUUUUAUGGAACUUCAACAUUUUUGUGCUGUAGAGAGAUAGUAAUUCUAAAACUUGAAGGAGCUGGGGUGGGAAGAGUGGGCUGAUGGCUACAUCUGCACAGGGAAGAAUAUUUUGGUUAUAAUUCUUGGGCGUCUGCCCAGCCACCUCUUCUUCCCACCUGCAGCAUUGCUCUCAGAAGGCAAAUCUAAACACUGUCAUCAGCAACAACAAGACAGCUCUCAGCAACUUUGUUCUGCAUCUUUCUCUAUUGCAGUAGGGGAAGAGAAGCUUGCAUCUGCUAUCUCCAAAGAGACCAGCAAGGGAGCUUGGUCUGCCUACUGAGAACAACUCUGCAGAUGCACCAGAUUUCAUUUUAUUGUAAUACCAAGUCAGCUUGCUGUUAUCACUCUAUGGCAUAACAAAUGAUAGUGUUUCAGGAGACUAUUUAAGAGUCUGUGUUAUAAUAAAGCAAGCUUCAAUGCUUU